rnacentral:tRNA from 1 species
AUCUUUCUAGUAUCAAAGAGUAUAAGUGACUUCCAAUCACCCGGUCUUGGUUAAAGUCCAAGGAAAGAUA